rnacentral:tRNA from 1 species
GCUUGUCUAGCUUAGUCGGUAGAGCACAAGAGUCUUAACCUUAUAGUUGUGAGUUCAAGCCCCACGAUGAACA